AGCGAACGCUGGCGGCAGGUCUAACACAUGCAAGUCGAACGAACCCUUCGGGGUUAGCGGCGGACGGGUGAGUAACACGUGGGAACGUGCCUUUAGGUCCGGAAUAACUCAGGGAAACUUGUGCUAAUACCGAAUGUGCCCUUCGGGGGAAAGAUUUAUCGCGUUUAGAGCGGCCCGCGUCUGAUUAGCUAGUUGGUGUGGUAAUGGCUCACCAAGGCUACGAUCAGUACCUGGUCUGAGAGGAUGACCAGCCACAUUGGGACUGAGACAAGGCCCAAACUCCUACGGGAGGCAGCAGUGGGGAAUCUUGCGCAAUGGGCGAAAGCCUGACGCAGCCAUGCCGCGUGGAUGAUGAAGGUCUUAGGAUUGUAAAAUCCUUUCACCGGUGAAGAUGAUGACUGUAGCCGGAGAAGAAGCCCCGGCUAACUUCGUGCCAGCCGCCGCGGUAACAC
rnacentral:rRNA from 1 species